GGAGGCAGUGCUGGUGGAGGAGGAGAAGAGAGGGAGAGAAAAAAAAAAGAAAUCAUCUCGCAAAUAACACAUACAUAGUCUUAUUUUCCUGCGUAAAUGCUUAUAUUAUCCUUUUGUUUCGUUUGCAUCAGGUAUCUGCAGUCUCCAUCAUAUCUGAGUAUAUAAGACAGCUUGUGGACGGACAGGCGAAUGUGCAAUAAGAAUCUGCCAGCAAAGGUCUAUAGACACUGAAGGUCACUGCAAUUCUGAACAAGCAUCUAGGAAGCUAGAUGGAGUUCUUCCAGAAUGCACUAAGAACCUCCAUUUUUUGACCAAGAGUGCUGCUGCAACCAUCUUUUUUUGUAUCCUUCCACAAUACAGCUACAACAUAUGAGGCUACUCGUAGCAUUAGGGAAACAAAAUUUAGACAAUAGUGACAACAAAUAUUGCAUUGAAGUUACUAUGUUAUUAGGGAAAGAAAACUUACAGUGCGUUCAGUAAGCCUACAGACCUUUUUACUUUUUCACAUUUUGUUAAAGCGUACCUGUCACCAAAAAAUUUUUUUAUAUUUUGUUAAUCAAUGUAUUAGAAACAACUUUCUAAUACCAUGUGAUUAACAAAAAUUUAUCUUUUUUUACUUUUAAAAACUGAGCACUAGGGGUCUCCCUACAUGUCAUUGAUUUUGGAGCGUCUGACAGCACCCCCGCACCCCUGUUAUUACACGCAGGAUGACAGCAGAGCAGAAGGAUCGCAGCGCCUGACAGCAACCCCAAAUCCCCGCUUACCAGAUUACAAGCCGAAUCCUGAUUACAAGCUGGUCGCAGAAGGGCGGAAGAGAGCCCAGCCAGGCUUCAGCUGACAUCACGCCUGAAGGGCCACUCCCUCUUCCUCUCUCAACAGAGGGCAGCAAACUGAGCAACUAACAAGGGAUUGCAAAAGAUCCAUAGCAAAAAAACAUAAUAUGUUUCUGAUGUCAAUUCUGCAAGACCAGAAAGGUCAAGAUGAAAGCUCAAGCUGCGUUUAAGAAAGCUGCAGAUAAAUUUAGUGUAGACUUGAUGUCCCAUGGAGUCUGCUUGUGAUAAAUCCAGCAUGCGAAAUUACCAAUGACAGUGGCUGCUGAUCGAAGUUUUACUCCUCUGGUGCAAUGAGACCAAAGAUGGCUGAACUGUGUCAGGUUAU